GACGUAGGAGGCGAGCGUUAUCCGGAUUUAUUGGGCGUAAAGGGCAAGUAGGCGGUUGUCAAAGUUGGGCGUGACAGACCCUGGCUUAACUAGGGGAGGUCGUUCAAAACUAGGCAACUAGAGGGCAGAAGAGGGAAGCAGAACUCCUGAUGUAGCGGUGGAAUGCUCAGAUAUCAGGAAGAGUACCAGUGGCGAAGGCGGCUUUCUGGUCUGCACCUGACGCUGAGAGGCGAAGGCCAGGGGAGCGAACGGGCUUAGAUACCCCGGUAGUCCUGGCGGUAAACGGUGGAUACUAGGUAUCAGGGGUCAAGGCCUUUGGUGCCGAAGCGAACGCGUUAAGUAUCCCGCCUGGGGACUACGGCCGCAAGGUUAAA
rnacentral:rRNA from 1 species